rnacentral:tRNA from 1 species
GUUUUAGUAGUUUAAAAAAACAUCGGUCUUGUAAGCCGAAAUUGGGGAUUCCCCCUAAAACU